CUACGUGCCAGCAGCCGCGGUAAUACGGAGGGUCCAGGCGUUAUCCGGAUUUAUUGGGUUUAAAGGGAGCGUAGGCCGUGGAUUAAGCGUGUUGUGAAAUGUAGACGCUCAACGUCUGAAUUGCAGCGCGAACUGGUUCACUUGAGUAUGCACAACGUAGGCGGAAUUCGUCGUGUAGCGGUGAAAUGCUUAGAUAUGACGAAGAACUCCGAUUGCGAAGGCAGCUUACGGGAGCACAACUGACGCUGAAGCUCGAAGGUGCGGGUAUCAAACAGGAUUAGAUACCCUGGUAGUCCGCACAGUAAACGAUGGAUGCCCGUUGUUAGUUCACUUAUGAAUUAGCGACCAAGCGAAAGCAUUAAGCAUCCCACCUGGGGAGUACGCCGGCAACGGUGAAACUCAAAGGAAUUGACGGGGGCCCGCACAAGCGGAGGAACAUGUGGUUUAAUUCGAUGAUACGCGAGGAACCUUACCCGGGCU
rnacentral:rRNA from 1 species